rnacentral:rRNA from 1 species
UUUGACCGGUAUGAAUGGUGUCACGAAAGUUCUUCUGUUUUAAAAAAACACUCAAGGAAAUUGAAUUUGUAGUGAAGAUGCUACAUUAAAAUUGUUAGACGAGAAGUCCCCAUGGAGCUUUACUGAAAGCCUAAAAAAAAGUUUUUAUUUAUUUAUAGGCUAGACAGUUUUGUUGGGGUGAUAGUUUUUUAAAAAGUAACGAAAACGAACUAUGACGCAUGUUUCACUCUGAAAACUUGAAGAGACAUUUGGGGUGUGUUUUAUGAUCUAUUGUUUUGAAUGAAAAAGAUAAUGAAAGCAGAUAAAAGUUACCCUGGGG